AGAGUUUGAUCCUGGCUCAGGAUGAACGCUAGCGGCAGGCUUAACACAUGCAAGUCGAGGGGCAGCAUAAUGGAUAGCAAUAUCUAUGGUGGCGACCGGCGCACGGGUGCGUAACGCGUAUGCAACCUACCUUUAACAGGGGGAUAACACUGAGAAAUUGGUACUAAUACCCCAUAAUAUCAUAGAAGGCAUCUUUUAUGGUUGAAAAUUCCGAUGGUUAGAGAUGGGCAUGCGUUGUAUUAGCUAGUUGGUGGGGUAACGGCUCACCAAGGCGACGAUACAUAGGGGGACUGAGAGGUUAACCCCCCACACUGGUACUGAGACACGGACCAGACUCCUACGGGAGGCAGCAGUGAGGAAUAUUGGUCAAUGGACGCAAGUCUGAACCAGCCAUGCCGCGUGCAGGAUGACGGCUCUAUGAGUUGUAAACUGCUUUUGUACGAGGGUAAACGCAGAUACGUGUAUCUGUCUGAAAGUAUCGUACGAAUAAGGAUCGGCUAACUCCGUGCCAGCAGCCGCGGUAAUACGGAGGAUCCAAGCGUUAUCCGGAUUUAUUGGGUUUAAAGGGUGCGUAGGCGGUUUAGUAAGUCAGCGGUGAAAUUUUGGUGCUUAACACCAAACGUGCCGUUGAUACUGCUGGGCUAGAGAGUAGUUGCGGUAGGCGGAAUGUAUGGUGUAGCGGUGAAAUGCUUAGAGAUCAUACAGAACACCGAUUGCGAAGGCAGCUUACCAAACUAUAUCUGACGUUGAGGCACGAAAGCGUGGGGAGCAAACAGGAUUAGAUACCCUGGUAGUCCACGCAGUAAACGAUGAUAACUCGUUGUCGGCGAUACACAGUCGGUGACUAAGCGAAAGCGAUAAGUUAUCCACCUGGGGAGUACGUUCGCAAGAAUGAAACUCAAAGGAAUUGACGGGGGCCCGCACAAGCGGAGGAACAUGUG
rnacentral:rRNA from 1 species